UACGGGGGGGGGUAAGCGUUGUUCGGAAUUACUGGGCGUAAAGGGCUCGUAGGCGGCCAACUAAGUCAUACGUGAAAUCCCUCAGCUUAACUGGGGAACUGCGUGUGAUACUGGAUGGCUUGGAUUUGGGAGAGGGAUGCGGAAUUCCAGGUGUAGCGGUGAAAUGCGUAGAUAUCUGGAGGAACACCGGGUGGCGAAGGCGGCAUCCUGGACCGGUAUUGACGCUGAG
rnacentral:rRNA from 1 species